GCGACUAAGCGUACACGGUGGAUGCCCUGGCAGUCAGAGGCGAUGAAGGGCGUGCUAAUCUGCGAUAAGCGCCGGUAAGGUGAUAUGAACCGUUAUAACCGGCGAUACCCGAAUGGGGAAACCCAGUGUGACUCGUCACACUAUCAUUAACUGAAUCCAUAGGUUAAUGAGGCGAACCGGGGGAACUGAAACAUCUAAGUACCCCGAGGAAAAGAAAUCAACCGAGAUUCCCCCAGUAGCGGCGAGCGAACGGGGAGGAGCCCAGAGCCUGAAUCAGCAUGUGUGUUAGUGGAAGCGUCUGGAAAGGCGCGCGAUACAGGGUGACAGCCCCGUACACAAAAGCGCAUGUGCUGUGAGCUCGAUGAGUAGGGCGGGACACGUGGUAUCCUGUCUGAAUAUGGGGGGACCAUCCUCCAAGGCUAAAUACUCCUGACUGACCGAUAGUGAACCAGUACCGUGAGGGAAAGGCGAAAAGAACCCCGGCGAGGGGAGUGAAAAAGAACCUGAAACCGU
rnacentral:rRNA from 1 species